UUCUAAAAGUGAAGGAACCCAACCGCUACGAGAAACUCAAGACAUAUUUUGCACCAUGUUUAUAAGCUGUUACUGCUCUUACGGUUAUACUGAAUACUGAACCAAUAAGAUACCCAAGACCCUGCGAAGUCAGUCCAAGCGAUACGCCUAUGAUGGAGAACCAGGUGAAUCGUUCUAGGUCGAGAGGUUGAUUUGAUAGCACAUACACGAUAAUCAAGAACAUUAAACUGUAACAUAUCUAAGAAAAAGUCUUUAGUAUGAAGAAUAAGCCAGCAAGUAU